rnacentral:ncRNA from 2 species
CAACUGUUUGCGGGAGAGAGUAGCGAAAACUACCGCCGAAGGGGAAAUCGCCCGAAAUCUCUCAGGCAAAAAGAACCGUAAGCAGAUC